rnacentral:misc_RNA from 1 species
UACAGAGGGUGCGAGCGUUAAUCGGGUUUACUGGGCGUAAAGCGUGCGUAGGCGGCUUUUUAACUCGGAUGUGAAAUCCCCGAGCUUAACUUGGGAAUUGCAUUCGAUACUGGGAAGCUAGAGUAUGGGAGAGGAUGGUAGAAUUCCAGGUGUAGCGGUGAAAUGCGUAGAGAUCUGGAUGAAUACCGAUGGCGAAGGCAGCCAUCUGGCCUAAUACUGACGCUGAGGUGCGAAAGCCAUGGUAGCGAACGGG